rnacentral:rRNA from 1 species
CUCGUGUCGUGAGACUGUUGGGUUAAGUCCGUAACCGAGCGCAACCCUUGUCCUUAGUUACCAGCACGUUAUGGUGGGCACUCUAAGGAGACUGGCCGGUGACAAACCGGAGGAAGGUGGGAUGACGUCAAGUCAUCAUGGCCCUUACGGCCUGGGCUACACACGUGCUACAAUGGUCGGUACAAAGGGUUGCCAAGCCGCGAGGUGGAGCUAAUCCCAUAAAACCGAUCGUAGUCCGGAUCGCAGUCUGCAACUCGACUGCGUGAAGUCGGAAUCGCUAGUAAUCGUGAAUCAGAAUGUCACGGUGAAUACGUUCCCGGGCCUU